CCCCCACCGGGGUGUCCAAAGGUCGGUGGGCCGCAGGUCCCCGCGCCUUUGGCUCUCACAACAGCUGUUCCUGGUUCAGGCCUCUGCCCCUCCCGCGCGUGCCCCAGAGGCGCCAGCGGGGCCAGGAGGCUGCACCCCGGCGUGCCCACCAGAGGGCCAGGGAGUUAUCUGAGGUGGGCCAGGCAGCUCUGCGUUCUGGCCAGGGUCAGGGAGCUGGGUUCUGGGGCCUGUUCACCGGCUCUUGUCCUCCCCCUGCCCGUCCAGGACUGGUCCUCUGGCUGGCGAAGCCAGGCGACGCCAGGGGCACCUGGUGCGGGUGCCAUUCCGUGAGGAGAUGCUCCAGGCGCUCACGCGGCUCACGCACACCACCCACGGAGGGUCUGCCAUCUCCCCGCUGCCCAUCUCGCUCCAGGGACCCACAGCCCUCUAGCCAAAGCACUUCGCGGCCCUGGUGCCAGGAGCCAGCACGGGGGAGGGUGACCCAGCACCCAAGUAUGCCCGGGCCUUGUCCGUUUUGCAGCCUCAAGUCCCAAGUCUGGGUCUCUGCCCGAAUGUGUGUCUGGAAAGGUAGUCUGCGGGGAGUGGACUAUUCAAUUUGUCCCCUGCCCCCAGUGCCCUCACCAGCCUGAUGGCCUCUCUUGGCCCUGAGGGCAGCAUGGGUGCGGUACCUCCCUGGAGACCUCCGUCUGUCAGGCCUGAGUCAGCCUUCCAUAGGUUUUUCACCAGUCCUCUGCUGCCGGGGCUAGACGCUGCACCAGGGCAGAGCAGCCUGGCUCAAAGCAGAGAUUCUGUGCCUGUGGAUCUGACGACCAUGCACCUGACCCAUCACAGGAGUCUGGGGCCAUGUGAACAGCAUCUCCACCAGACAGGUGGCAGACAGGUUCCCACGGGGUCACACCUCUGGGUGUCGUUCCCUCAUCCCCUUCUCUUUCCUUGCCUGGCCUCCUGUUUGGCAACUUGCUGGCCAAGGUUUCCCCCAAGCUUCCAGCUCACCCAAACUGAAUCACAGCCCAGAGUGUUUGUCUGUGACCCUAUGGAUGGACAUUCGGGUCCUUCCCACUGUUUGGCUGUUGCAGACACUGCUGCCCGUGGCAUCCCGCAUGCCUGUCUGAGCCACCACCGUCAGCGAGAAAGGCUCUGGGGUGCACAGCCGGCAGUGGCUCUGCUGGGACUUGGGCUGUGCCCAUCAACGCCACGACCAAGCAUGGCUCAUCUGUGACCUCCGGGAGAGACACCACCUCAUCGCUGUGUGCCUUGGGUUUCCCCGAUCGGUGACGAGGUCUCUCACUGGCCGUUCCCGGUUCCUCUUCUGUGAAUCUCCUUUGCUCCUUUCCUCCUCAUCUUACAGGUGACAGGCGUCAUCAGCCCGUUUCCAGGAGAAAGUUCCUAGCGUCAAGAUCGAAGCCUUUCUCCUUUUGUGAUAUAAGCCAUGGCCAGUCUAUCACGUUGCCCAGAAGCAGGUCGCAUUGGAGUGGGCCUCACAAUUAGACUUUGGCUCGCCCGUAUGGUUGUGAAACGUUUCAGAAUCAAGAUGGAGUCACUUGUUGUUCAAGCAAACAAAAAUCCAAAAACCUGACAAAUAGAGCUGUGGAGGGCCAUGGAGGCAGGGUUCCCAUGCACGAAUGCCUGAUAACAAAAGCCAUCACAGAAGACUGCAAAACCCACAAAUUGGCACAAAGGCUGUUGCAACCUGACACAAAUAAUGCUUCUGCGAGGACACCUGCCCAGCAACUUCCUGUCCAAGUCCCUGACCAAUGCUACCCUUGUUAUUCAUCCUUGUAGCCAAAGAUCAUUAUCUCAAAACAAUUAUGUAAUCCUCUUCACUUUUCCUGAAAAACCUUUGUCUUCCUUUUCCCUGCCUGAAUAUGCACAUAGUUCACUAGGGCGCACGCGUCCCCACUGCAACGCCUAUUUCUGAAUAGAUACCAUUUUCUUAUA